UCUUCGUUAGUAUAGUGGUGAGUAUCUCUGCCUGUCAUGCAGAAGACUGGGGUUCAAUUCCCUGAUGAGGAG
rnacentral:tRNA from 1 species